rnacentral:rRNA from 1 species
ACUUAACCUGGAGAGGAAGCAGUGGCUAACUCCGUGCCAGCAGCCGCGGUAAUACGGAGACUGCAAGCGUUAUUCGGAUUCACUGGGCGUAAAGGGUGCGCAGGCGGUUAUGUGUGUCAGGUGUGAAAUCUCGGAGCUCAACUCCGAAACUGCGCCUGAAACUACAUGACUAGAGUAUCGGAGAGGUGAGCGGAAUUCAUGGUGUAGCAGUGAAAUGCGUAGAUAUCAUGAGGAACACCAGAGGCGAAGGCGGCUCACUGGACGAUUACUGACGCUCAGGCACGAAAGCAUGGGUAGCGAAAGGGAUUAGAUACCCCUGUAGUCCAUGCCGUAAACGUUGUAUACUAGGUCUUGGAGGAUUCGACCCCUUCAGGGCCCAAGCUAACGCGAUAAGUAUACCGCCUGAGGACUACGGCCGCAAGGCUAAAACUCAAAGGAAUUGACGGGGGCCCGCACAAGCGGUGGAGCAUGUGGCUUAAUUCGA